rnacentral:piRNA from 1 species
UAAUGUUGUUUCCAUCAUAAU